rnacentral:rRNA from 1 species
GAUGAACGCUGGCGGCGUGCUUAACACAUGCAAGUCGAACGAAGCACUUAAUGAGAUUUCUUCGGAUUGAUUAUUUUGUGACUGAGUGGCGGACGGGUGAGUAACGCGUGGGUAACCUGCCCUGUACACACGGAUAACAUACCGAAAGGUAUGCUAAUACGAGAUAAUAUGCUUUUAUCGCAUGGUAGAAGUAUCAAAGCUUUUGCGGUACAGGAUGGACCCCGCGUCUGAUUAGGCUAGUUGGUAAGGUAACGGCUUACCAAGGCGACGAUCAGUAGCCGACCUGAGGAGGGUGAGUCGGCCACUAUUGGAACUGAGACACGGUCCAAACUCCUACGGGAGGCAGCAGGUGGGGGAUAUUGCACAA